GGGAGGUGGUCGCCCUCCGUCGUGGCCUGGCGUGGAUUCCGAGCGUUGGUGUCUGGCGGUUUCCGACCGUUGGUGUCUGGCACGCGCCACCCCGAUGUACCAGACAAGAAGACAAGAAAAUGAUUUGAGGACAGCUUCAAUCGCGGUGUGAAGAAGAAAGCAGCAAAACGACCACUGAAAACAACGCCGGUGGCAAAACAUCCAAAGAAAGGGUCCCAAGCGGUACAUCGUCAUAGCUGGAAACAGUCAGAGCCACCAGCCAAUGAUCUUUUCAAUGCUGCGAAAGCUGCCGAAAGUGACAUGCAGUUUGUCUUUCCUAGAUCCAGA
rnacentral:lncRNA from 1 species